rnacentral:rRNA from 1 species
CUAAGAGAUCGGUCCUAUUCCAUCAGCUAGUGUAGGUAAGACUACAGCRAUGACGGUAGCGGUUUGAGAGAUGAUCGCACACUGUACUGAGACACGACAGACUCUACGGAGCAGCAGUGAGGAUAUGCACAUGGGGGAAACCUGAUGCAGCAACGCGCGUGGAGGAUGACGCAUUUCGGUGUGUAAACUCCUUUUAUAUGUCAAGAAAAUGACGUAGCAUAUGAAUAAGCACCGGCUAACUCCGUGCCAGCAGCCGCGGUAAUACGGAGGGUGCAAGCGUUAUUCGGAAUCACUGGGCGUAAAGGACGCGUAGGCGGGUUUGUAAGUCAGGUGUGAAAUCCUACAGCUUAACUGUAGAACUGCACUUGAAACUACAARCCUAGAGUAUGGGAGGGGCAGAUGGAAUUAGUGGUGUAGGGGUAAAAUCCGUAGAUAUCACUAGGAAUACCGAAAGCGAAGGCGAUCUGCUGGAACAUAACUGACGCUAAGGCGUGAAAGCGUGGGGAGCAAACAGGAUUAGAUACCCUGGUAGUCCACGCCCUAAACGAUGAACACUAGUCGUCGGGAUGCUAGUCAUCUCGGUGAUGCACUUAACAGAUUAAGUGUUCCGCCUGGGGAGUACGGUCGCAAGAUUAAAACUCAAAGGAAUAGACGGGGACCCGCACAAGUGGUGGAGCAUGUGGUUUAAUUCGAAGAUACGCGAAGAACCUUACCUAGCCUUGACAUUGAUGGAACCUGCCAGAGAUGGCGGGGUGCCCUUCGGGGAACCUGAAAACAGGUGCUGCACGGCUGUCGUCAGCUCGUGUCGUGAGAUGUUGGGUUAAGUCCCGCAACGAGCGCAACCCUCGUCCUUAGUUGCUAGCAGUUCGGCUGAGCACUCUAAGGAGACUGCCUUCGCAAGGAGGAGGAAGGUGAGGACGACGUCAAGUCAUCAUGGCCCUUAUGGCUAGGGCUACACACGUGCUACAAUGGGGCGUACAGAGUGUUGCGAUACCGCGAGGUGGAGCUAAUCACUUAAAGCGUCUCUCAGUUCGGAUUGGAGUCUGCAACUCGACUCCAUGAAGCUGGAAUCACUAGUAAUCGUAGAUCAGCAAUGCUACGGUGAAUACGUUCCCGGGUCUUGUACUCACCGCCCGUCACACCAUGGGAGUUGAUUUCACCCGAAAUCGGGAAGCCAACCUUCGGGGGGCUACCGCUACGG